GACAGAGGGUGCAAACGUUGUUCGGAAUUACUGGGCGUAGAGAGCUCGUAGGUGGUUUGUCGCGUUGUUCGUGAAAACUCACAGCUUAACUGUGGGCGUGCGGGCGAUACGGGCAGACUUGAGUACUGCAGGGGAGACUGGAAUUCCUGGUGUAGCGGUGAAAUGCGCAGAUAUCAGGAGGAACACCGGUGGCGAAGGCGGGUCUCUGGGCAGUAACUGACGCUGAGGAGCGAAAGCGUGGGGAGCGAACAGG
rnacentral:rRNA from 1 species